AUUGAACGCUGGCGGCAUGCUUUACACAUGCAAGUCGAACGGUAACAGGCCGCAAGGUGCUGACGAGUGGCGAACGGGUGAGUAAUGCAUCGGAACAUGCCCAGUCGUGGGGGAUAACUACUCGAAAGAGUAGCUAAUACCGCAUACGAUCUAUGGAUGAAAGCGGGGGACCGUAAGGCCUCGCGCGAUUGGAGCGGCCGAUGUCAGAUUAGGUAGUUGGUGGGGUAAAGGCUCACCAAGCCAACGAUCUGUAGCUGGUCUGAGAGGACGACCAGCCACACUGGGACUGAGACACGGCCCAGACUCCUACGGGAGGCAGCAGUGGGGAAUUUUGGACAAAGGGCGCAAGCCUGAUCCAGCAAUGCCGCGUGCAGGAAGAAGGCCUUCGGGUUGUAAACUGCUUUUGUACGGAACGAAACGGCUCUGGUUAAUACCCGGGGCUAAUGACGGUACCGUAAGAAUAAGCACCGGCUAACUACGUG
rnacentral:rRNA from 1 species